AGAGUUUGAUCCUGGCUCAGAAUGAACGCUGGCGGCAGGCCUAAAACAUGCAAGUCGAACGCUGUAGCAAUACAGAGUGGCGCACGGGUGAGUAACAUGUGGGAAUAUGCCUUUUGGUACGGAACAACUUUUGGAAACGAAAGCUAAUACCGUAUGGUCCCUCCGGGGUAAAGAUUUAUCGCCAAAAGAUUAGCCCGCACUAGAUUAGCUAGUUGGUGAGGUAAGAGCUCACCAAGGCGACGAUCUAUAGCUGGUCUGAGAGGACGAUCAGCCACACUGGGACUGAGACACGGCCCAGACUCCUACGGGAGGCAGCAGUUAGGAAUAUUGGACAAUGGGCGCAAGCCUGAUCCAGCCAUGCCGCGUGAGUGAUGAAGGCCUUCGGGUUGUAAAGCUCUUUAGCCGAUGAUUAUAAUGACUGUAGUCGGAAAAUAAGCCCCGGCUAACUUCGUG
rnacentral:rRNA from 1 species